rnacentral:rRNA from 1 species
GACGAACGCUGGCGGCGCGCUUAACACAUGCAAGUCGAGCGAGAACCAGGGCUUCGGCCCUGGGGACAGCGGCGAACGGGUGAGUAACACGUGGGUAAUCCACCCUCGGCACCGGAAUAGCCCGGGGAAACCCGGAUUAAUGCCGGAUGGCCCGCCGGCCCCGAGGGGCUGGCGGAAAAGGUAGCUUCGGCCUCCGGCCGAGGACGAGCCCGCGACGGAUUAGCUUGUUGGUGGGGUAACGGCCUACCAAGGCUGCGAUCCGUAGCUGGUCUGGGAGGACGAUCAGCCACACUGGGACUGGGACACGGCCCAGACUCCUACGGGAGGCAGCAGUGGGGAAUCUUGCGCAAUGGGCGAAAGCCUGACGCAGCGACGCCGCGUGGGGGAAGAAGGCCUUCGGGUUGUAAACCUCUUUCAGGAGGGACGAAGCCACUCGGGUUAAAAGCCCAGAGGGUGACGGUACCUCCAGAAGAAGCCCCGGCUAACUACGUGCCAGCCGCCGCAGUAA